rnacentral:snoRNA from 1 species
AUCCUUUUUUGGUUCAUAAGCAUGAUGAUUGAGUGUUCAUGCCUUUGGGUGACAUGUGCCGCCCUCAAACCUUGUUACAAGGUGGGCACAUUACCCUUCUGACU